UACGGGGGGAGCAAGCGUUGUUCGGAUUUACUGGGCGUAAAGGGCGCGUAGGCGGCCACCGCAAGUCAGUUGUGAAAUCUCUGGGCUUAACCCAGAAAGGUCAACUGAUACUGCGGGGCUAGAGUGCAGAAGGGGCAACUGGAAUUCUCGGUGUAGCGGUGAAAUGCGCAGAUAUCAGGAAGAACACCUAUGGCGAAGGCAGCACUCUGGGACGGUACUGACGCUGAGACGCGAAAGCGUGGGGAGCGAACAGG
rnacentral:rRNA from 1 species